AACUUUAGGGUCAACACUCCUCUCUCAACCCACCGACGGGACGACAUUCUUCUUCCCUUCACUGAUUCACUCCUUCAAUCGAACUUGCUUCCAAUAGAAGCUUCUCUCCUCUUUCCUAUCUAUGGCUGACAGAGUAGGUUUUUAAUGCUUGUGUUGCACAAUGGACUCCCCGCAGUCUGUUGUGCCACCAUUUAAGAACUUGAUUGUUAGUGGUGCUGAGCAAGAGAAACAGAGACUAGAAGUGUUAGUCCGCGGUACUCCCACUCACAUAGCUAACCAGGCAGAAAAGAACAAGGUAAAUGUGAAUGUUUAUAACACAGAAGAUUCAUCGGUACCCUCGAUGUGUAUGUACAUCAGGCAAGAGACAUUAUGAACUUUCUCGUAGAUUAGAGUAUCAACCCUCAAAACUGUGGCUGAUUGGUUCUAUAUGAAGGCCCCACAAUACAUGUCUGAUAGUUAACGGUCUCGGUAGCAUAUAGGAAAGGUUGUCUGACCCUUGCUCUUUAUGACUAUUCAAAGGGAAAUACACGAGGAAUAUUCUAGCCAUUUUAUUACGUUAUACAACAGGGUUUUGUAUUUUUUGUAAUCUUUUUGGAUUACAUUCUUUGUCAAUGUAAAUAUCAAAAUUUAUCACGCGAUUAAGCUGUAGCUUUGUAAAUGUUGUCAUUAUUUAUAAGAUAUAAUUAUGUAUGGCACGUGCAACGCACGUACCCAAUAACUAGUAUAAAGUAAAAAAAUUAUGUACUA